rnacentral:rRNA from 1 species
UACGAAGGGGGCUAGCGUUGUUCGGAAUUACUGGGCGUAAAGCGCGCGUAGGCGGUGAUCUUUGUCAGAGGUGAAAGCCCGGGGCUCAACUCCGGAAUUGCCUUUGAAACGGGAUCGCUUGAGUCCGAGAGAGGAUGGCGGAAUUCCUAGUGUAGAGGUGAAAUUCGUAGAUAUUAGGAAGAACACCGGUGGCGAAGGCGGGACUCUGGGCCGAUACUGACGCUGAGGAGCGAAAGCGUGGGGAGCAAACAGG